AUUUUCCUCCCAUACAUUCUCACCGUUCCUAUUCCCCUUAUUAUCAUAUCAUUUGGCAAUUCUGGCAGUAGUUAUCAUGUGUUGGAUUGUGAAUCAUUUACAAACGAACAUGAAUAUAUAGUCAUCGAAUUUAGUUAUCAACUAUUGCUCAUCUUUUCAUAGUCAUUGUUAAAGCCUUGCCUGAUUUCAUUUUAUGUUUCUUUUUCUCUGCCCAUUCUUAACUUAAUGA
rnacentral:misc_RNA from 1 species